UUUGCAAAACUCUUCACACAGUUCUCCUAACCAACUUUCAGCUUGGCAAAGCAGUUCAUUUCACAUUCAAAAUGCACUACAACUACCAAAACACUGUAUUCAGGUCUCAAAUCAACUUAUUCUUUCAGAACACUAGCAAAGGUUGACAGCCGACAAACACACUUUGUCACCCACAAAACAAUGACCUGAAAAACACUAACAACAUGUAGCAUUAUACAAUGUUUUCUUAUUGACACAUCUCUGUUUAUAAUUCACUGCAAUAUAUGUUACUGGAAUGAAUCAGACUGAUGCAGAAUCCGUCAAUAUUUUAUGUCGUUUAUUUAUUUUUAUUUUUUUACACUGAGUAAUUCCAAAAUACAAGA